rnacentral:rRNA from 1 species
CCUACGGGUGGCAGCAGUGGGGAAUAUUGCACAAUGGGGGAAACCCUGAUGCAGCGACGCCGCGUGAGUGAAGAAGUAAUUCGUUAUGUAAAGCACUAUCAGCAGGGAAGAAGAUGACGAUACCUGAGUAAGAAGCCCCGGCUAACUACGUCCAAGCAGCCACGGUAAUACGUAGGGGGCAAGCGUGAUCCGGAGUGACGGGGAGUAAAGGUAUCGUAGACGGCAGGGCAAGUCUGGAGCGAAAGGCGGGGGCUCAACCCCCGGACUGCUCUGGAAACUGUACGGCUGGAGUGCAGGAGAGGGAAGUGGAAUUCCUGGUGUAGCGGUGAAAUGCGUAGAUAUUAGGAGGAACACCAGUGGCGAAGGCGGCUCACUGGACUGUAACUGACGUUGAGGUUCGAAAGCGUGGGGAGCAAACAGGAUUAGAUACCCGAGUAGUC